rnacentral:rRNA from 1 species
CGAACGAAGCACCUGAGAAUGAUUCUUCGGAUGAAGUCUCUUGUGACUGAGUGGCGGACGGGUGAGUAACGCGUGGGUAACCUGCCUCACACAGGGGGAUAACAGUUGGAAACGACCGCUAAUACCGCAUAACCCGCUGGUGCCGCAUGGCACUGACGGAAAAGAUUUUAUCGGUGUGAGAUGGACCCGCGUCUGAUUAGCCAGUUGGCAGGGUAACGGCCUACCAAAGCGACGAUCAGUAGCCGGCCUGAGAGGGUGAACGGCCACAUUGGGACUGAGACACGGCCCAGACUCCUGCGGGAGGCAGCAGUGGGGAAUAUUGCACAAUGGGGGAAACCCUGAUGCAGCGACGCCGCGUGAGUGAAGAAGUAUUUCGGUAUGUAAAGCUCUAUCAGCAGGGAAGAAAAUGACGGUACCUGACUAAGAAGCCCCGGCUAACUACGUGCCAGCAGCCGCGGUAAUACGUAGGGGGCAAGCGUUAUCCGGAUUUACUGGGUGUAAAGGGAGCGUAGACGGUGAUGCAAGUCAGAAGUGAAAGCCCGGGGCUCAACUCCAAAACUCCUUUUAAAACUAUAUNACUCAAAUACANNAGAUNUAAACCCAAUUCCUNNUNUANCNNUNAAAUGCGUAAAUUUCAGGGAAAACCCCCNUNNCNNNNNCNNCUUNCUNNNCUNUNNCUNNCNUUNNNNCUCNNAANCNUNNNAACCCUUUUAAGGNAGANACCNNGGNAGUCCACACAGAGAGAGGACCCUGUAGAUUGUCGGAAAGCAAAGCUCUUCGGUGCCGCAGCAAACGCAUUAAAUAUUCCACCUGGGGAGUACGUUCGCAAGAAUGAAACUCAAAGGAAUUGACGGGGACCCGCACAAGCGGUGGAGCAUGUGGUUUAAUUCGAAGCAACGCGAAGAACCUUACCAGGUCUUGACAUCCCUCUGACCGGGAUUUAACCGUCCCUUUCCUUCGGGACAGAGGAGACAGGUGGUGCAUGGUUGUCGUCAGCUCGUGUCGUGAGAUGUUGGGUUAAGUCCCGCAACGAGCGCAACCCUUACCUUCAGUAGCCAGCGGUUCGGCCGGGCACUCUGGAGGGACUGCCAGGGACAACCUGGAGGAAGGUGGGGAUGACGUCAAAUCAUCAUGCCCCUUAUGAUCUGGGCUACACACGUGCUACAAUGGCGUAAACAAAGGGAAGCGAGACAGUGAUGGCAAGCAAAUCUCAGAAAUAACGUCUCAGUUCGGAUUGCAGUCUGCAACUCGACUGCAUGAAGCUGGAAUCGCUAGUAA